UUUCGACAUUUUGCGUCAUCGGUAGAUUAGAAAGUAGAAUAAAUUGUAUUGUGCAGGGUAGUUAAUAGUUAGAAUGCAGAAUUGAGAAUCUCGACUCCGACUUGGAUUAUUUACAGAUGACAUCCCAAAUCUAGCAAACGUGGUCAUAGUUUUUCGCCCACAGUCGUAUCAGCUACCCUUUCAACUAAUAGAUCAAGAAUAAUGAAUUGAAACUACUUUGAUGGAUGUAUCUAAUUCGGCCGGAAAAUGUAUUCGAUAUAAGAUGAGAAUCGCGUAGUGAUUCGGCUACAAAUUUAUUCGCUUGUUUGAGACUGGACUGGAAAACAUGAGCGAUAAUGGUACUCAAGCUACAUUAAACGAUACGGAUGCUGACACUGUUGACGAACACGCCGACCAAACUGAAAUACUUUCUCAAGUACCGUAGAAACUACUGCAGAAGACUCUCACACCACAGAAUUACUUCAAUCCGGUACCGAACACGAUAACGAAACGCAGAUUUCUCCUGAAACUCGAGUUGACGAAUUUUUACCAACUAUAAUUGAUAGUCGUGGCGUUUGUGACGAUUCUUCGAAUCUAGAAACUUCACGAACUAAUGCAGUUAAUGCAACUAUCGCUGCAAAUGAAAAUAAUGUAGCGUGCGUUAUCGAUGACGCUGACGGUGCUGAUACUCACUCGAUUACCAACACCGAAGAACCUUCCAAUUGUGAUAAUACUAAUAAUAAAUCGGAUACGGUUUUGAAUUCGAACGUAGUAAAUAAGAAAGAAUCACGCGAUGAGGACAUUGAUAACGAUUACAUGUUGGUCGACUUGAUGAUAUCGGUAUGUACUAUGUACUUCGUUUCACGUCGGAAAUUGAAAUCAAAGAGGAACGAAUCAACGAGCGGAAUUUAUUAAAUACGAACGGUCCCCUGAUUGGAGCCACGAAUACAUCCGAGAGACGACGACGGAAACCUGCUCCGAACGACGACGACGGGAACUACUUUUUACGCGGAGCAGCAAUUUCGUGAACCAGAUCUUGAUCCGAAUCUGAAUCAUCCACCUCCUCUACGUGAACCAGAAACAGAUCUUCAUCCGAAUCUGGAUCAUCCACCUGCUGUUCGUUCAGCCUGUCAUCAAUGAAAUUGAACGGAGACGGUAGAUGACCAGCGCGACCACGUGCUCGUCCAGCUCUGCUUCCUCUCGGUCUUCUAGCGCCGCCGCCGCCUCGCGCUUGUUCAGCGCCGCCGCCUCGCGCACCUCUAGCGCCGCGUGCACCGCCGCCUCGCGCUUGUUCAGCGCCGCCGCCUCGCGCACCUCUAGCACCGCGUGCGCCGCCACCUCGCGCUUGUUCAGCGCCGCCACCGCGGGCACCUCUAGCGCCGCCACCGCGGGCACCUCUAGCGCCGCCACCGCGGGCACCUCUAGCGCCGCCACCGCGGGCACCUCUAGCGCCGCGCGCUCUUCUGUUACCGCCGCGCGCUCCUCUGGCACCACCGCGCACUUGACCAGCGUCACCCUGAGCAUCGGCGUUGUCACCGUCGCCACCAGGUGGAGGAUUUCCCCCGUGUAGGAGUGGCAAUGCAGGAGGUGGCGGUAUAUCUGCGUCGUCAUCUGCGAAUUGACGGAUCACCGGUUCAUCAUCUGCAAUAGAAACUAAGUAAGUAACAAUAACGAAAACAGUCGUGUAUUACUUGGAAACACUUACCCCAAUCCAGCUCUAUAUUUAUUACUUCGAUUACGUCGUGUCCGUCUACAGCUGCCACGGGGUCUUCCUCUGGUAGUCGGUAAAAAAAGAAUUAGUUUCGAUUCUAAGAAAAAAAUAAUAAUUUCUUGUAAUGAUUACAAACCUCGCUCUCGCGCGUUGUCCCUCGCCGCAUCUGCCUCUGGCGCUGCUACAUCAGGCGCAUGGUGGCCUAAAAAUCGGAGCACUUCUUCGGCAGUUCUAACGCCCCUGUCAUACUCAUCCCAAGCACGGGUCAAGUCACGCUCAUGCGCUUCUUGUCGUCUGUCUGCCGGCCAACGAACUUGCUGCGCUUGCCCGGCUCGCAGGUAUCUCCCAUACUGGGCAUUGCUCACCUCCAUCAUUCCGUCUGAAAAUGUUUUAUAGCCUAAUAAAUAUCACUCAAUACCUACCUACAUGACGAUGGUGGUGUGUCCACUUACUCAGAAAAGUAUCGUAACUGGGACGGUGCUGCCGUACCGUCAUCUGCUCCGGUAGGCGCCUAUUGAGUGCUUCCAUUUCGUUGUUCGUCCUUCUUGGUUGACCAUAUACAGAAAGUAGUGCACGUCCUGUGAACAGAAUGUAUUAAUAGCAAUAUUCUACACAAUACGUAUAUUACUUGUGUGUGUACUCACGGGGAAACCAAUACGCCCGUAAGUAUUGGUAAAAGCUUUGCGCUUCCGGCGACUGCGAUUCUCUCACAUACUCCCGCAGUAUGGAGAAUCCCAGGGGGAUAUCGUCUGCGGGGAGCAGAGGGAGCGCGGUGGCCAUUUUGUAGAUCCUGCGAAGCACUGGAUUGGCUUGCACAAUGGCGGUGGUGAGUCCGUGCGCUGCGCGAUUUCGCCUCAGCGCCUGCACGUAGUGAAAAUAACAUCCCAAUAAUUGUGCUAGUGGCCAAACAAUGCGCACAGCUCGCUGUAAUGCCAGCUCGAAGUCGGUAAUUACUAUGCGUGGAAGCAUAUUCUGCACUACCCGCUGCAAUGCCCUGAAUACCUCCACAUAGCAGAUGGUAUUACGCCGCCUCAUCACAGCCCAGGCAACCAUGUACAUCGUUCCGAACGCGGAGGCCAUAAUCACCAGUAACUGUGUGGCCUCCGGAAUGUUCGGGCAUGACCGGAACGUACCAUCAAUACUAAAGAUGGGGUACCCACUGUCGAAGUUCCGGAGACACAAACAGGACGGAGUGCUGUCCCACGCUUUCUACAACGAGGGAAUUGCCGUUGGGCCGGGUGAUUAGACCGUGAUAUGCCUGGUUGGUUCGCAAUAAUUCCCCGAAUUGCCUCACAGUUGCAGGCGGCGGCGGGACCACUGUUAACCUCCAUCUGUCCAUCGACCGCCUCAUCGACUCUAAAUUCAUCCUCUGCAAAACUGCAUCAGGGCGCCUGUCAAGAAAUUAAACAUGCUUAUGGAAUGAAAAAAGUAUGAAUUGACUAGUCGUGAUAAUAUCUCAAGAAGUGCGCAUUUUUUAACUCAACUAUUAGCGGAAAAAUUCGGUCGAUUUUGGCGGAAUGAAAGUAAUUUGAUGGCAGGUGCGCAGUGUCAGCUGCCAAAUUCGUAUACCGAAAUGCAGAAGAAUGGUUUAAAGGAAUGGAGCUGGUUGGACUUGUUAAUCCGUUGGAUAUGAGUAAGGUUCGUAAAUGAUUAUUGAUAGGUAUUGUUUUAAAUCCGGAAUUGUCUUUCCUGUUCGUACAGCAACGUUUUAUUCUAUUUGCGGGGAAAAAAAUCCUCGCUGUUCUUUUGCAUAACGAUUUGUGUUCCCAGUCCCUUAUUUUACGCGCUUAUGAGCACCAUAAUUAUUCCAGGUCGGUCGAAACUUUACCUCUCAGAGGUUCUGAUAAUUUACAAAUUAACAACCCUGUAGAGGUUUUAGUGACCAACUUAACUAUAGGAUAUGACCCUGCGAAAAUUCGCAACAAGCUGAAACGUUUUUCGGAAAACUGCGGUGGUCGUGUUGGAAUGAUAACCAAUCAAACUGCUACCAUAAGUUUUUCAGCAAUGGAAUUUGCUACUAGUAGGGAAAAAGAAUAACAUUUGCGGAAACUUCGAUCACAUUGUGCCUAACCAGAAAAUGUAUCAUUGUCCGAAUAACGAGAAUUUUCUUAUCGUUCCCAAAUAUCCGAUCAAUGAUCAGAGGAAUUUCUUACGGUACGAAAGACCAGCUUCGUGAAACGGUCAACGUAGCGAUAACUACACUGUUCCUUAUACAAUUCAAGAGAAUUUCCCUCAUCCUAAUAAUUUACCACAUGGAAGUUUCGAAUUGUUUUGAUACCGUUCAUUGAAUUUAGAAGUAUACGAUGGAAGGUGGUGGACAAGUUUUGGCUGCUUGCGACGUUACUGCCAAGUGUUUGCCUCAAGAUCCGUAUGUGAUGGCCCAACGUAAGAAUACUUUGUUUUUCUCUUUUUUUCGCUGUUACGAUAACGCGAUUGACGAAUGUUUAUUUUUUCAACGGAAAACUUUGAUCGAUUUUGGGAGAAUGAAAGUAAUUUGAUGGCAGGUGCGCAGUGUCAGCCAAAUUCGUAUAUCGAAAUGCAAAAGAACGGGUUACCGCAGAUAACGAUAUUGAAAAGGAAUGCAGCUGUACCUGUUAAUCCGUUGGACUUGGAUAUGAAUAAGAGGUAUUUUCAUCCUAUUUAUACAAAUCAAGCUACAAUCAAUCAAUCUACUCAAACAAAUGGACCGGUUGAAUUACAUGUAACGAACUUUGAUUUUCAACGCGUUUGGUCAGAUUUUGAAUUUAUCUGCUUCCGGCGGCGGAGGAGUCAUUCUGUCUUCGUUGGAAUUAAUGGAAUCUUCGGAUCAUGAAUAAGACGAACUGUCGUCCUUUUUGGAGUCGGAUUUAGGGGAAGUUUUCAACUGCUCUUCGUUCUGUAAACUUUCGCCCUAUGUCAUGGAUUUUUUUCUUUUUCAGAUUCGCUGCAGAUCGACGCUGUCGGCGCUCCUUGACUGCUUCAGAGUACCUUUCAUUCGACUGUCGAUAUUAUCGAUAUUUUCCGUUCGCUGAUACACCGAAGUAUUCGAAAAUAAAUAUUUUGAUGCUGGACGAAACAGACAGUAUAUUAAACAUGGGUUUCAAACCGCAGAUCAGAAAAAUCGUCGAAAGACACUCGAUGCCAAAAAUUGGCGAACGAUAAACCCUUAUGUUCUCUGCUACUUUCCCGAAGGGAAUUCAGAUUUCAGCCCGAGAUUUCUUCGAUAAUUAUAUAUUCUUAGCGAUUGUUCGUGUUGGUUCGACAAAAACGAGAAAAAAACCUGUUUAUUAGAUUUACUCGCCGCCCAUAAAUCCGAUCAGCCGGCGGCCGAUGCGUUGACAUUGAUCUUCGUAGAGAUGAAAAAGGCGCAUAAUCGUUAGAAGAAUUUAUAAUACACUGCGAGAGCUAUUAGAUUUGGAAGAACAACCAUCUUGGUGGCGACCGCUGUUGCGACUGGCAGUCUUGAUAUACCGCACGUCACAAUCCGUCGUCGAGUGUUGAACAAAAAAGUGGUUCAUCCAAGGCUGCUGCGGUCGUUUGUUACCGUAAGUGUAAUAAAAGGAGUGAAAUUGCACACUGCACAGUGGGAAAAUGGUGCAACUUGGUCCGUUGUUCGCUUCGUCUUUCAGAAUUCAAAGAUGACGCGUGUAUCAGAGCCGAACCUACAGAUAACGUUUCCUAGCAGCCUCCGAAAGAGGUGGAAUUUUCGAUCGACAAGACCGCUAAACAAAUAAUCGAAUCCUGCAAGGGUAAAAGUCUAAAUGGGGUAUCCGAACUGCAGUGCCUUCGCCACCGGAUCCUCCGCCUUCAACAUCAACUAAAGAACAACUACCUCAGACUGUGUUGAUAUUCAUACAUAAUAAAAAAACAAGCGUUUAGUCCGCAGCUGCAAGCAUUCUGCUAGAAACAUCCAACACCGAUUGUUCGGGAGCAUCGCUGCUGCUGUAAACUUAGAUUUGGGAUUAUUGUCGACCAAAAGUCUGGUUGAAGCGAAUCCCAAUCAUUUGAUCAAAGUACGAACGCAAGUACAGCAAAGCGGUGACGAAAAUUGGAAUCAGUCACACGCUCGUAAUGGCUGGGCUUGUAUUAGCCAUCGAUCGCACACAACUAUAGCCAAAAUAUGCUCAGUAUCAAGCGUCUAGUUUUCAAGAUUCGUUGAAGGAGAAACGAGAGACGCAUUCGUCCAAUGCGCAAGGUAGCUCUAACAAUUUAUCAGACUUGAUUCCAAAGAUUCGACGGGUAAUUUGAAAAGAAAAAAAGGCCCCUCCAAUUUUGUAAGUGUUCUGCCCAGUGUCGAAUCUCAGUCAUAACACAAACGCAAUGCAAUGUCGAUGAUAUGUAUUUUCGCUUCGCGCUUUUCACAGAGCGUACCCGGUAUCAAACCGCAUCAAGGCAAAUAUCUCAAUCAGCACCCCUAAAGAUCAGCAUCGUUGGAUUUUGGAUCAAAAAGGACGAAAAUUGAAGGAUUUGGAUAAAAAUACCGGAACCAAAAUAAGCAUACUGAGUAUUAACGAUUCGUCUGAUGAAAUCGCCGUCGUUGAAAAUCGAGAAAGUAUCGAAAAAGCGGUUCACGAAAUUCGUGUCAUUUCCGAUGAACAGUCUAAGAAAGCAUUUGUCAGAGUAAGCGUUCCGAAAAUCUAUCAUCCCUUCGUUACCGGCGCGAAUAACGAGAAAAUCAAUCAACUGAGUCACGAAACGAAUACCAGGAUCAAUGUACCUCCGCCUUCCGUCGAUAACACCGAAAUAACCAUAACUGGAGAAAAAGAAGGAGUAUUGAAUGCGAAAAAUCGAAUCAUGCAGAUAUAUCAAGAUAUGGAAAAAAAUUGUAAAAAUAUCAGCGUCGAAGUACCGAAAUGGCAACACAAAUACGUAAUCGGACACAACGGCUCAACUAUGGCUGAAAUCUUGUAAGAAACUGGCGUUAGUGUAGAAGUACCUGCGGCUGACGUCGUCGAUGACACCAUCACUUUACGUGCACCGUGCCAAGUUCUUGGAGAUGAUAAUUAUCAGCAAAAUGGGAUUUCUGAAAUCAACGGACACGCUGACGAUAAAGAUCAGGCUAAGCCUUGCGACACUGUUUAUAUUACAGUUAAACCAGAAAAUUGCGAGAGUGCUAAGCGCAGAGUCUUCUACAUAUUGUUCCAAUUACUUUAGAGCUAUAUCUUAUAGCUAUCACGGUUUGAUUAUUGGACCUAGCGGGAAAUUGAUCCGCAAAAUUAUCAAUGCGCAUGACUGACGUUCAAGUGGACGUCCCUCAGAUAGACAUGAAAUUAGAUUUAAUUGAAGUAAGUGUUUCUCUCACAGAUACAGCGAAGAAGUCAACAUAGAUCGUCGCGUUCACCCUAGAAUAAUCGGAGCUAAAGGUCGACAAAUCAGGAAGAUAAUGGAAGAGUUCGACGUUGAGAUCAGAUUCCCUCGCAAUACAGAUGCUGAUCCCGAUACCGCUGUGAUAUUCGCCGACGAAGAUAAGGUCGCUGAUUGUAAAGAUCAUCUGUUCACUUCGCAAGACGACUCUUUUCAAAACGUUCAUGAUGACGUGAAAGCGCCGAGUACAUCGGAUAUGAUAUUCGACGGCGGAAAUACUCGUAAUAAACCUGACGAAGCCGGGUUCGUCGUGAAAAAUGCCCAUUUGGAUCAAAAAGCACCAGAUAUGAGUAGUAUUGCGGAGUUUCCGUAUUUUGAAGCCGUCGAUAGUAGUACAACUUCCGCUCAGUUAGGGUCCGAAUCGAAACCUACUUGGGGGCAACGGCGUCAAGUGCCUUAGUGCCUUUUUCUUAAAUUAGGGUCCUUUUUUCUUUUUUUUUAAAUUAUAAAUUUAAUAAUUUAAUGCAUAAUUACUUCCAUUUUAAAGAUAGUAUUGUUGAAUCUUGAAAAAUGAAAAUAUGAUUGCUUUUUUCAUUUCUUUUCUCUGUGAAAUAAAUUAGUCAUUCGUUGCA